rnacentral:siRNA from 1 species
GGAGAGCUUAUGGUUCGGUGUUCC